rnacentral:snRNA from 1 species
GGAUGUGAGGGCGAUCUGGCUGCGACAUCUGUCACCCCAUUCAUCUCCAGGGUUGAUUUGGCUGAUCUGGCUGGCUAGGUGGGUUUCCUCUUCCUCCCUCAAUGCUCCAUGUGCGUCCCUCCCGAAGCUGCACGCUUGGCUGAAGAGGACGACCACUCCCGAUAGGGGAGGACCGUUCCUCGGUCGAGGGUAUGCGAGCAGCUGAGCUCUCCUGCUAGAACCUCCAAACAUGCUCUCCAGACUAGAAUGACAGUCCUUGACAAUGUUCAGAAACAACAGUGUUAUCAGCUGCUUAUGACAACUCAAGAAUAC